GCUUAUCAGCGUGUUCGAGUCCGGGUUCCCGCCCCUCGGAUGUCAGCCGCCGCAUGAAGGUGGACUUCCCGCACCCCGAGUCGGCGGCUAGGCCGAUCACGACGGUCUUGUCCUCGGCGGAGCAUGAUAUCCGACUGCUGAGGAAUGGUGAUAUCUUGGGUGCCACGUGGCGACGAGGUGAUGGGUUGCAAAGAGAUUAUGGCUGUGAGUGUGAGGAUAUGGGGAGUAUGGACCUUUUAUGAUCCCACUUCCAUGUGAAUUUCACCAUUGUUUCUACUACGUAUAUGCAGUCUGUUUAAUUUAUGUGGUUUACUAUAAUAGAAUAUUCCAUCCAGUGAAUAUUUAUCUCAUAUUUUCUUUUCAAUA